UGAGGAAUAUUGGCAAUGCCCGCAAGGGUGACCCAGCAACGCCGCGUGGAGGAUGAAUGUCGUAAGAUUGUAAACUCCUGUUAGAGGGGAAGAAUAGUACCGGUUGGACCGGUAUAUGACUGUACCCUCAGAGAAAGCCCCGGCUAACUACGUGCCAGCAGCCGCGGUAAUACGUAGGGGGCAAGCGUUGUCCGGAUUUACUGGGCGUAAAGGGCGCGUAGGCGGCGCGGUAAGUCACUUGUGAAAUCUCUGAGCUUAACUCAGAACGGCCAAGUGAUACUGCUGUGCUAGAGUGCGGAAGAGGCAACCGGAAUUCUUGGUGUAGCGGUGAAAUGCGUAGAUAUCAAGAGGAACACCUGAGGCGAAGGCGGGUUGCUGGGCCGACACUGACGCUGAUGCGCGAAAGCCAGGG
rnacentral:rRNA from 1 species